UCGGGAAUUUUGCCCAAUGGACGAAAGUCUGAGGCAGCAACUCCGCGUGAGGGAUGAAGGCCUUCGGGUCGUAAACCUCUUUUCCCAGGGAAGAUCCAAGACGGUACCUGGGGAAUAAGCCACGGCUAACUACGUGCCAGCCGCCGCGGUAAUACGUAGGUGGCGAGCGUUGUCCGGAUUUACUGGGCGUAAAGCGCGCGCAGGCGGCCGGCCAGGUCCGAUGUGAAAUCUUCCGGCUUAACUGGAAAACGGCAUCGGAUACUGGUCGGCUGGAAGGUAGGGGAGGGUAGCGGAAUUCCCGGUGUAGUGGUGAAAUGCGUAGAUAUCGGGAGGAACACCAGUGGCGAAAGCGGCUACCUGGCCCGCUGUUGACGCUGAGGCGCGAAAGCUAGGGGAGCGAACGGG
rnacentral:rRNA from 1 species